rnacentral:snoRNA from 1 species
UGCUAAAUGGCAACUUAGAAAUCAGCUAAUAGUGGCCCGGAAGGCAGCCACAGGAACACUGUGACUCAUGGGCCCUGUUCCCCUUGCCCAGGCUCAGAGAUAAAUUUGGUCCAUAGACACCA